AGCGAACGCUGGCGGCAGGCCUAACACAUGCAAGUCGAACGCGUGUAGCAAUACACGAGUGGCGGACGGGUGAGUAACGCGUGGGAACCUGCCCAAUGGUAGGGAAUAACUGCGGGAAACUGCAGCUAAUACCCUAUGCUCCCUACGGGGAAAAGAUUUAUCGCCAUUGGAGGGGCCCGCGUCGGAUUAGCUAGUUGGCGGGGUAAUGGCCCACCAAGGCUACGAUCCGUAGCUGGUCUGAGAGGAUGAUCAGCCACACUGGGACUGAGAUACGGCCCAGAAUCCUACGGGAGGCAGCAGUGGGGAAUAUUGGACAAUGGGGGAAACCCUGAUCCAGCAAUGCCGCGUGAGUGAAGAAGGCCUUAGGGUUGUAAAGCUCUUUCGGCGGGGACGAUGGUGACGGUACCCGCAGAAGAAGCCCCGGCUAACUUCGUGCCAGCAGCCGCCGUAACAC
rnacentral:rRNA from 1 species